CUCCCCCCUCCCCUCCCUCCAUGUCCCCUCCUGCGCCUCCGGUGGCCAGACGCCUCUUCCACUCCGGCCGAUAUGUUUGAAGAAGGGGCUAGAGACAAACUGUCCAAUCUGUUGUGACUUCCUAUUCACAUCAAGCAAGGAAGUUAGAGCUGUUCUUUCUGGUCAGUCCAUGCAUUCAACUUGCUUGCAGGCAUACACUUUCAGUCACUACACUUGUACUAUCUACGGCAAAUCCUUCUGGGAUAUGGCGGUAAGCUGCGUUAGUUUUUACGGCAUUGCAAAUCUUUGCAUUUAUGGUACUGAAGUUAAUCUUCAUCUUGAGUCCCAUGAUUUGUUUUCCAUAUCUUAGUGAAAACUAUUAUUUCUCCUAUUUUGCUCUUCAUCUCGAGGGCAUUUCACUAGCUGAUAAGUGAUGUUUCAUAAAGCAUGAAACUGACACAUUUUUCGGUACUUUGAUACCGGAAGCCUGUACCUCCACCAAUCAAAUGUUUUAUUAAUGCAGUUGUAUUGUAUGAUAAUUCUCCACGGACAAUACAAUUCUGAUUCCUGACGCCUGAGUGAGAUUUUACUUGUGGUCUUGUUAUUUAAACUCAUUCCUAAGAUGCAACAUGAAGACUGUUUUGGUAUUUGGGGCAUGCACGAUUGGACAUUUUGCUCGAGUCAUAUAAUCAUAUUGAGUGACUGAAUGUAAUGCACAUAAACUUCAGUGGUAUAUUGAAAAUGGUUUAUCCUUUUCUUCUCGAAACAGAUAAAUGUUGGAUCAGCUGACCCUGUCAUUAUCUCAUUCCACCCCAACACCACGGUAUAGCUUUUCUUCUGUGAUCAUCGCUGAUAUUCCAAACUGCAGGGGCACCCUCAUCAUUGGCGGAUUUUAUAUUUCUCAGGUCAGACGGUGUGCAGCCACACCUGGUCACCAUCGAGUUUCAGGUAACCACGACAAGUCAACGAUCUUCCAUUGCCUUCCGCUCAAUUUUGUUUGGAUGGUGCGUGAUUCCUUUCAUCGAGUCUUCAAUAAACCAAAGAGUUACCAGAGUAGUUAAUUAGGAGCCUAAUCAUGUGCAAACUAUUGUGCAUCAAGUCUUCAAUAAAAACAGAGCAGUUUCUACAUGCAAGACGUAUCAAAAUAGUAUGCUAAUACUUGAAUACCAUGUGACUAGAUCGAUUUCCAAGCAGACUCGAUCGAAUCAUCGUAUAUGGUGUGUUUGUUGCGUCAAGUAGUGACGGAGAGCAAGCGAGGCGAGAGAGCGAGUCACAGCGCGCUUUUACCUGUUAUUAUAUAACGCACAUUGAUUAGUUCGGUUGUAUCUGGGCAUGCUUUUAGACUUAAAGUCGAUCUUGAUUUCCUCCUGCCACCUGUAUGAGGGUAUCCAUUCGAAACACAUAUCUAAUCUUCUAUGUGUGGGAUCCUUUUUCUGUUCUGAAUUUGUUGUUGGGGCGAGCUUGUUACUCUCUACAUGGAUUUCAAGCUGGAUGAGAGCUACACGCCGAGCAAGAUCUCCAUCUGGACCGGCGACGGCUUCCAGAAUCUCAAGGCCCAGAAAUUAGGAUUCAAGAUUUGCCUCAUUGAAAACCGGUCAGGAGUUCAUGUUCACAAUCAAGCAGUGACCCCUUCUACUACUUGAGGGAUUCAGCAAAGACCAUCAACGGUACAGUCAAAGUUGAACAUGAAAACAAGGCGUUCUGCCAGUGUGCGUGCAUGAUCCAAUAGCAUGUGUUUAAUAGUAGCCACUAUGAUGUGAAAUACUAGCAGCUUCCUCCAUUUAUGCCAGUAUUUGAUAUACUUACCAAAGUUUAAGGGCGCCAAUCUUAAGAAGACAUCCCGGUUUGUGAGAAAAUUUCUUACGCGUAUUAGACAAAAGAUGUAUCUAAUUUUCCUUAGGUUGCAUUGCAACACAUCAGUUUCUGCUAUUGGUUCUUUUACCAUAAAAUUUGUAAGGUCCCUUAUGUUUGAUUUAUUGUAUAAAUCAUUUGAGACAUGCCCUGCAUGCAUGAUUACUCACUAUAUUUAUGUUCAUCUGAUAUUAUGUUCAUGAAUCAUUUACAUCA